rnacentral:tRNA from 4 species
CGGAUAGCUCAGUCGGUAGAGCAGGGGAUUGAAAAUCCCCGUGUCCUUGGUUCGAUUCCGAGUCCGGGCACCA